CCUACGGGAUGCACCAGUGGGGAAUCUUGGACAAUGGGCGAAAGCCCGAUCCAGCAAUAUCGCGUGAGUGAAGAAGGGCAAUGCCGCUUGUAAAGCUCUUUCGUCGAGUGCGCGAUCAUGACAGGACUCGAGGAAGAAGCCCCGGCUAACUCCGUGCCAGCAGCCGAGGUAAGACGGGGGGGCAAGUGUUCUUCGGAAUGACUGGGCGUAAAGGGCACGUAGGCGGUAAAUCGGGUUGAGAGUGAAAGUCGCCAAAAACUGGCGGAAGACUCUCGAAUCCAAUUCACUUGAGUGAGACAGAGGAGAGUGGAAUUUCGUGUGUAGGGGUGAGAUCCGGAGAUCUACGAAGGAACGCCAAAAGCGAAGGCAGCUCUCUGGGUCCCUACCGACGCUGGAGUGCGAAAGCAUGGGGAGCGAACGGGAUUAGAUACCCUAGUAGUC
rnacentral:rRNA from 1 species